rnacentral:lncRNA from 1 species
UCCAAAUUACAUUAAGCCCAAAUGAAAAGAGGCCCAGCGGCCCAAAACAUUUAAACAUUUUCAGUAAAACAAAAACCCUAGACCCAUUGACUCGUCGCACCCCCUAUCGUACGCACACCGCUCGAGGCGCCUUGUCUCAAGGCCAUGACGCGCCCUUUUUACCGUCGUUUCACCAAAACAGUAAAGGGUUUGCAUCGUCGUUGACCACGAGCCCAUACCUGUAAAAAGAACAAAGAAAAGAAAAAAAAAACAAAAAGAUAGUAGCAGAGAAACAGUGACAAAACAGUGGAAAUAAACAAUGAAAAAUAGCAGUUGAUUGUAUAAUCGGCUAUAAAAGCUGUUGUAAUGGCAUGUAAUCUUUAUGAAAAAAAUAAAAAUAAAAUACAAGAAAAAAGGAAGUUCAUUCGCUCGUAUUUUAUUUUAUUUCUUUUUCUAAAAAAAGAAUAAAAAUAAAAAAACAGAAAGUCGAACAGUUUUACCUGAGUCACCGUGUAGCCGUCGUGAGCGAGGCCGUUAACCCUGAGGAAAGACACCUCCUUUUUGACGCAAAAGGCUUUCAAGUUCUCUUAAACUCGCCCGGGGUUUCAUUAGAAAGGGGAAUACGAGGGGUGCGCCUUCAAGAAAGGGGCCGAAAAAGAAAAAAAUUUAGGGUUUUCCUUCCAUCGGGGACGGCGGAGCCAUCGCCGCGGUGACCUGCCGGAGCCAAUGCCGACCAAAGGUUGGCUUAGAGAGAGGGGAGAGGGUUUCAAAU